UACGGAGGGGGCUAGCGUUGUUCGGAAUUACUGGGCGUAAAGCGCACGUAGGCGGACUGUUAAGUCGGGGGUGAAAUCCUGGGGCUCAACCUUGGAAUUGCCUUUGAUACUGAGGGCCUUGAGACCGGAAGAGGUCGGCGGAACUGCGAGUGUAGAGGUGAAAUUCGUAGAUAUUCGCAAGAACACCAGUGGCGAAGGCGGCCGACUGGUCCGGUUCUGACGCUGAGGCGCGAAAGCGUGGGGAGCAAACAGG
rnacentral:rRNA from 1 species